AGUUUUCAAUAUUUUCCAAACUCCAAAUGUAUUUUUGUUCAACAUAACAUUUGUUCCUUAUCUCAAGACCUUUCCAAUAAUUACCCACAUGCUUAUGUUUCAAUUUUCCAAUUGGCAUUUUCGAAGAGGUGAAGUUUUGUGAUCAAUUAUGCGUAACAUGUUAAAUUUCCAUGCACAAGCUAAUGCAUUGCAAUCUGCACGUCCAUUUCCC
rnacentral:lncRNA from 1 species